rnacentral:rRNA from 1 species
AGUGAACGCUGGCGGUAGGCCUAACACAUGCAAGUCGAACGGCAGCACAGUAAGAGCUUGCUCUUACGGGUGGCGAGUGGCGGACGGGUGAGGAAUACAUCGGAAUCUACUUUUUCGUGGGGGAUAACGUAGGGAAACUUACGCUAAUACCGCAUACGACCUACGGGUGAAAGCAGGGGAUCUUCGGACCUUGCGCGAUUGAAUGAGCCGAUGUCGGAUUAGCUAGUUGGCGGGGUAAAGGCCCACCAAGGCGACGAUCCGUAGCUGGUCUGAGAGGAUGAUGAGCCACACUGGAACUGAGACACGGUCCAGACUCCUACGGGAGGCAGCAGUGGGGAAUAUUGGACAAUGGGCGCAAGCCUGGUCCAGCCAUACCGCGUGGGUGAAGAAGGCCUUCGGGUUGUAAAGCCCUUUUGUUGGGAAAGAAAAGCAGCAGGUUAAUACCCCGCUGUUCUGACGGUACCCAAAGAAUAAGCACCGGCUAACUUCGUG